GUCCCUGAACCGCAAUGGAUAGCGCUUUGGACUUCUUAUCCGAAGCUCGUGGGUUCGAAUCCUACCUGGGAUG